UAUCCUUGUGGGUACAAGAAAUCCUCAGUACCUACAAGGAUAGGAAAACAAGGAACAUUCUCCCACUUGGGGACAAAGCUUAUUUUAAGCUUAGAGGUUAGGGUUACAAUUAGGGUUAGGGGUUAUUUGUUAGGUUUAGGGUUAGGAGUUAGGGUUGGGUUUAGGUUUUAGAAGUUAAAGUUAGGGUUAUUUUUAGGGGUUAGGGAAAAUAGGAUUUUAAAUGGAAAAACAUUUUAGGUCCCCACAAGGAUAGUAAAACAUAUGGUGUGUGUGUAGAGGAUUGCUUCAGCAGUAAACAGCUGUGGAUGAGCUAAGCCCCCCUGAGCAACGGUGUCAUGGAGCAGCUCCUGGGAUGAAUGGAAAUGCCUCUGGGAGUUCAAUCAAAGGAUACAAUUCAGGACCAUGCCCCAGGACUACCUGGCCUGAUGACUCCUUGCUGUCCCCAGUUCACCUGGCCGUGCUGCUGCUCCAGUUCCAACUGUUCUGCCUGCGGCUAUGGAACCCUGACCUGUUCACCGGACGUUCUACCUGUCCCAGACCUGUUGUUCCAGACCUGCUGGAACCCUGACCUGUUCACCGGACGUGCUACCUGUCCCAGACCUGCUGUUUUCAACUCUCUAGAGACAGCAGGAGCGGAAGAGAUACUCUCAAAGAUCGGCUAUGAAAAAGCCAACUGACACUUACUAUUGUGUUACUGACUUGUUACACCCUCGACAACUACUAUGGUUAUUAUUAUUUGACCAUGCUGGUCAUUUAUGAACAUUUGAACAUCUUGGCCAUGUGCUGUUAUAAUCUACACCCGGCACAGCCAGAAGAGGACUGGCCACCCCUCAUAGCCUGGUUCCUCUCUAGGUUUCUUCCUAGGUUUUGGCCUUUCUAGAGAGUUUUUCCUAGCCACCGUGCU
rnacentral:lncRNA from 1 species